UCCGGUUUAACACCGGCAGUCUGCCUAGAGUUCCCAACUUAAUGGUGGCAACUAAGCACAGGGGUUGCGCUCGUUAUCGGACUUAACCGGACAUCUUACGACACGAGCUGACGACAGCCAUGCAGCACCUGUUCAUGCGUACCCGAAGGUAACUCGUGAUCUCUCACGAUAGCGCACAAUGUCAAGGGUAGGUAAGGUUCUGCGCGUUGCUUCGAAUUAAACCACAUACUCCACCGCUUGUGCGGGCCCCCGUCAAUUCCUUUGAGUUUUAGCCUUGCGACCGUACUCCCCAGGCGGGAUACUUAAUGCGUUAGCUUGAGCACUCAGAAGCUUAACUUUCCGAACGCCGAGUAUCCAUCGUUUACGGCGUGGACUAC
rnacentral:misc_RNA from 1 species